CUUUGUAGAGACAGACCAAAAAAAAUUAGAUUUAAAAAGCAUUUUAUUUUUCUUCUCAGCAACCAGAUACAUGACUGAAGCCUUGGGAAGGUGUUAAAAUUACUGAGGGAUAAUGAGUCCUGGAGAGCUUCAGACAGAAAAUUUGGACCUGCCAAUGACAUCAAAAGUGAGAUAUGAUUGAUGGAGGCACCACCUUCCAAACUUGAGAAUAGUAACCAUCAAUCAAGAAUACGGAGUGAAUUGUGGGAGAAUUAAAGAGCAGGAUCUCGGAUCAGGCAUGGUGGCUCAUGCCGGUCUUUGCUCCCAGAGCUCCCAAGAUGGCGGCAGCUGCUCCCAAGAUGGCAGCAAGCCUUUGUUCUCUGACCUGGGGUUCUUGGCCUCACAGAUUCCAAGGAAUGGAACCUCGGGUCAUGCGGUGAGUGUUAUAGCUCUAUUAGAAGCCAUGGGUCAUGGAAGAGAACCGUGGAACCCAUCGACUAGUGUUCAGCUCAAUUAGGAUAAACCGGGACACUUAGCCAUGCAGGAACAAGGGUGAGCCUUUAGCCCAAUCGGGAGCGGCAGUGGGCACCUUGCUGGAUCAGAAGUGCAGUGGACACCCUGCUGGAUCUGGAGGGGUGGAAGUCAGUGGCAGUCUGCGAAGGCAGCGAUCAGCAGUGGUGGACAGCGAGCAAAAGCUCAGCUUGAGCUGGAACAAACAAGGACCAGAAGAGUGUGGAGUUGUAAGAUUUACUAGAGUGAAAACGGAGCUCCCAUACAAUGGGAGGGGACCCUAAGGGGGCUGCCACUGCUGGCAUGAAUGUCUGGGUUUAUAUCCCGAUAAUUGUCCCUGCCCCGUGCUCUCAGGUGAUAGAUGAUUGACUAUUUCUUUACCUCCUGUUUUUAGCCUAAUUGGUAUUUUAGUGAGUUCUCUCUACUAUCUGAUUGGUUGGAUGUGAGCUGAGUUACAAGCCCUGUGUUUAAAUGUGGGUGUUCUCACCUUCCCCAGCUCAGCUUAGGAAUUCUUAGUCGGCCUAGGAAAUCCAGCUAGUCCUGUCUCUCAGUGCCCCCUCUCAACAGGAAAACCCAAGUGCUGUUGGGGAGGUUGGCCGACAAGUGCUCUAACUGCUUCCUGCUGAAUUGAGGUGUAGUAGGGGUUGUGCAGUUGAGAUUUCCUCUGGAGGGGUGCCUUCAAUGUCAUACACAUUGGAGCAUGGGCUAGCAGGCUGGUCCAGGGGUCUGUGGUAGAUCUUACUCAUAGGCUGCAUCUGGGGCUCCGUUUGAAGAACAAUUUGUAGUUUUACAGCUUCGAUUCUGGAAGAGACAAACUUAGCAAGAAGGCUAAAAAUACAGGGAUUGAAAUGUAUGGCCUGAAGUGCAGGAGGAGGCACAUCCAACAGUUAGUAGGGUUUGGGACAAGGCUUCAUGGAGCCCAGUGAGGGUGGUAUUAAAUAGGCUUACCAGGUGAGUAUGGGUAUGGAGGAUCUUCAAAGGCAAACAAGAAUUGAGAGUCAGGAUGUAUAGGGAUGCAGAAAAAGGCAUCCUUAUGGUCCAGGCUGUAAACCACACUCCUUCCUCUGGUAUUUGGGAAAGCAAAGUGUAAGGUUUAGGUACAGCUCAGUAUAGAGGAACUACGGCCUCACUGAUAAUCCUGAGAUCUUGCACUAACCUCCACUGUCUGUUGAGUUUCUGUACUCCUAAAAUUGGAGUAUUUUGGGGGCCAUUGCAUGGUUUUACUAGGCCUUGGGCUUUUAGGUCCUUAAUAAUGUUUUGGAGUCAUUGUUGGGCCUCAGGUCUAAGGGGGUACUGUCUUUGGUAGGGAAAGGAGGCAGAAUCCUUUAGUUUAACUUGAACGGGACGGGCAUUCUUCACUCGUCCAUCCAUAUUAUCCUUCUGUUGCCCAGACUUCAGGAUUCAUUUCUUCCUCAAGUAGGGGACAACAAACAGGUGUUCCUUCUCCUAUGUUCAGGUGUGUAAUGGCCCCUGCUUUUGCUAGGAUGUCUCUCCCUAACAAAGGACUGGGGCUUUCAGUCAUAAUUAGAAAAGCAUGUGAAAAGAGUAAAGUUCCCCAGUCACAACUUAGUGGCUGGGAGAGGUAUCUAGUGACUGCCUGUCCAAGGACCCCUCAGAUAGUGACAGAUAUGGAGGACAGUUGUCCAGGACAAAAGAGUAAGACUGAGAAGGCCACACCAGUGUCCAGGAAACGGUUAACCUCCUGGCCCUCAAUGGUCAAGCAUACCUGGGGCUCUGUGAGGGUGAUGGCAUGGGCUGGCACUUGCCCUGGGAACCCUCAGUCCUGCUGCUGGAUCAUCUGGUUAGUGGCUUCUGACUCAGAGGACCUUCUUCUCCUGGGGCAGUGGGCCUUCCAGUAAUUCCCUUGACAUAAGGGACAUGGAUGAGGGGGCGGCUUAUUUCUUUUAGGACAAUCUUUUUUAAAGUGUCCUUGUAGACCUCACUGGAAGCAAGCCGUAUUGGGCAUUCGAUUUGCCCAGCCUUUCCCUUUUCCAGAGCCUCCAAAGUCCGUUUGCCUGAGGGCCAUGACUAAAGCGGUGGCCUUUUUUUAUCCCAUUUGUCCCAUUCCUCCUGCUCCUCCUGAUCUCUAUUAUAAAAAACUGAGGUUGCCAAGUUCAGUAGGGUUUCUAAGUUUUCUCUGGGCCUAAGGCAGACUUUUGAAGUUUUUUUCUAAUGUCUGCAGCUGACUGAGUGAUAAACUUAUCCUUUAAGAUUAGUUGGCCUUCAGUAGAGUCAGUUGAUAGAGAGGUGUGCUUCCUCAAUGCCUCCCUUAGUCUCUCCAGAAAGGCAGUAGGAAUUUUUUCCUUUCCCUGUGUUAUAGUGGACAUCAUUGAAUAAUUCAUAGGCUUCUUCCUAGUUUUCCUUAGUCCUUCUAGCAUGCAAGUUAGAAAUGUCUGUGGCACCAAUCUCCAUGUUCUGAUUCUGCAUCCCAAUAAGGGUCUACACUCUAGUACCUGCUGGCCUGUGGGGACUUGUUCUCUUUCUUCUGUUGUCAUCCUAUCAUUGACCUGUCUGAGAUGCCAGAGAUCACCAAACCCUCGGGCUGCAGUUAUGGUGGCACUUCUCUCAUUUGGGGUUACUGUCUGAUCUAGCAGUAACAUUAUAUCUCUCCAGAAUACAUCUUAGGGGUGUUUUUGCUUUGGGGGAAAGUUUUCCAUCUGAAAAAGGAACAUAGGGAUGCCAGCACCCCUAGUCAUUUUUCAAUGAGCAUUAGUCCUAGAGCAUCCUCUUUGGUCCUAAUGAUUAUUCCUUUCCAGGGUGCAUAACGACUCAUGGACCUCUGCUUAUCAGAUUAGUUAGGCUCACCGAUGUAGCAGUCCUGCACCUGUUUUGCCACCUUUCUUGACCACAAAGAAAGGGGUCAGGGCUGCUGGAUUCUAGUGGUCCUUUACCAGUGUGCCCAACAUUGCCUUUGUGCUCAGGGGUGAGUUCUAGAGCUGGGCUGGGUUCCUGAGUAUUUCAUAACAACCCAGUUGCCCCAUCAGGAUGCAUUCCCAUAAACAACAGUUCUUAUGCAAAUUCGUUUCAGAGAGGGUGUAGGUAAGCUUUUGAGUCAGGAUUGAGAUAAGAGUUUUUUUUUUGAAGAUGAUAACCAUUUUUUCCAAAGUGAACUUCCUUUGUGUCUGUGGACUAGACCGUCCAAAUGUAACGCCAAAGGUUCUUGACUGAGCCACGUGAAAGAAUUAGUGUGGCAGCAGCCCAUGGUGUGAGAGAGACAUGGAUUGGAUCGAGAGAAAAAAAGAGCUGUAGGCUUUAUCGAACAGAGUGACAAUACAAAGCUUCCACAGCGUGGAAGGGGUCCUGAGCGGGUAGCCAGUGUUGGAUUUUUCUAUCACCUUUUAAACUCUUUAAGGUGGGAAAUACGUGCAGCAGGAAGAUGUUACCAGAGUGAGAAACAAAGACAAUUAAGAUGUCUCAGAUCUUGAGAAAAACUGGAAUUGCAAAUUAAGUUUUUUCUACUUUAUGACUUUAUAGCAGCAUGGCAAAGGAGACAGGAUCUCACAGGAUUUUACAAAUUAUGUUUACAGGGAAUUGGUAUUGGGAGCAUAGACAAAGUCUGCUGGUCACAGAAAAAUGAGCUUUUAACAUUCCUUUUAGUUUCAGGGGAGGGGGAAAAGAGAGAGAGAGGGAGAGAGGACACAGGGAAGCUUACAGCAAAAUUUUCGCUGUUUACAGCUUUCUUGGGGAAGAAAACACAUGCACAAAUUCUGAUGUUAGGAAUAUUUUAAGCAUUUAUCUUCAAUAUUAUUCAUCCAAGACGAAAGUAAAUCCAGAUGCAGGAAACGAGUGAGUUUCACAGCUUUCUGAGCCCCUACUCGACCCAGGAAGCCCAGCUGGCACCUCCUCUCAUAAGGCCACAAGAUUAGAAGUUAGGAUAAUACAGGUUACACUGUUAACUUGGAGCAAACUUUACUUUUGUUGAAAACCUUGUAAGUUUGGGAUUUCAAUUAUCCUUUGCUAUUAAUAAGACCUUGAUUAGUCCAAAUUCACUUAGAAGUGGUAUAGAUGGUUUUUUUGAUUCUGCAAGUACUUUAAGGUUUGGCUGAGUGCAAACAGCUCACAAGUUUGAGCACACCAAUUAUUAGGCAGUUUUCCUCUCUGCUUUUAUAAGAGUUUCCCUAUCACUUACUGAAUACCCAUUGUGGUUUUUUUUCUCAAUCACCCAGGAGGAACCAUCUAUCUUCCUGUCCUGAAGGGGGUUCCUCCUAGGUCUGGUCGGACCUUUGUAUGGUAAUUAAGAUUUAAAUCCCCUGUUAGAAAAUCUGCUGGGUUAAGGGAAUUUUCCAUAGUUAGUGUUAAAUCAUCUUUUUCUAACAGAAUAGCCCCAUACUUUAAGAUUUUUGCGUUAGUAAGCUACCUUUUUGCUUUUUUGACUUAGGAUAGUUCUGAACUGGUAAGUUGUGCUCACAAUGAGGUUUCCUCUAAAAGUUAUUUUUCUACUUUCUUCACUAGCAAAGCAGUUGCUGCUACUGGGUUAAGGAUUUUUGAUAGGAAGGCUAUGGGUUGUCAGUGGUCUCAGUGCUUUUGGGCUACCCCCUUGUUUGCACUGACAACAAGGUGGUAUUGGAGGGUUAUAGGGUCAUGGAGAAGACCUUCUAUUAUCAAUUAUAGGUUUUAAAUUUACCCUGGCUUUUAAAGGAAUAGGGUACCCUGUCUUUUCUUUACUACUUCUAUCUCUUUCUUUCUCUCUCUGACUUUCUCUUUCUUUCUCUCUUCCUCUCUUUUCUUUCUCUCUUUGCCUUUCUCUCUCUUCCCCUCUCUCUCUUUCCUCUCUCUCUCUGCCUCUUGGUAUAUGGAUUUUGGGAACACAGCAGAAGGAUGUUCACUUGUUACCCCCAUUUGCCACUAUAGGAAUAUGCACCUCCCUUUAAUUUACUAAAUUCGCUUUCAUCCUGAUCUAUUACGUUGUCGUAUACCCAGUUCCAGUUGUUAAAGUACUGGGUUGUCAGUUCUAAGGCCCUGGCAAAGGAACUGAGGCUUAGGGAUUGUAUUUGAAGGGGGGUAAGCUGGGUAGAAAUUGGGGGAGGAGAGCAUUUUACACAAUGGGAGAGCAAUCCUCCUAGCCAUUUACAAACUUGGGGCCCUGGCAAGGGUGAUACAGAAUGGGUCCCACAUAACUGCCCAUGUUGAGAGCUGUAUACCUAAAUUGGGAGGGACACCAGGAGCAAGACUCCCUGGGUUCACAGCCUAGGUGCCUUAGGACACAGCAUAGAGCUUCCUUAGAUCCCUUUGGAAAUACAGCUUGCUCUAAUACUUGCGAGAGGAGGUGAAAGUCUGUAGCAUUAGUAAUUAGGAGGCAGAGAUCAGAGGAAGUAGAUUCAGUGGUAAGGAUAAUUUGGGGGCUACACUUUCAAGAAAAUCAUGGUCAGAACACAGGAGGUAUGGGUCAGAAGGAGAGGUAGGGGUGCACGCAUGGGAGACUGUUGAGUAGAGACUUCUGGCUGUGCCAUGAUCUUGACCGGCCAAUGCUGGGAGUUUGGGAUAACAGCUUUCUGCCUCUAGUUGGCCCUCAGCUUUCCCCAGGAAUAUUGUGAAAGCAGAAGCUGGUUCCAGGCAGACCAAUGCUCUCAACCCAGAAGGGGUGAAGGUUGUUAGAAAGCCUUUUCCCAGAAAGCCUCACAUCUGAGUCUUAAGUCCGGUGGCCAAGCUAAUUGUUUUUACCCAGCUGACAGGUGCCCGGUAUUUUCCUCCAAUUCUAAGGAAGGAUAGGACAGAAUAGCAAGCAAAAGUGGUCCGAUAUUACUCAUCACUUUGGAGAAUCCCUGUGCAGGCCACCAGGGAUUACUGGCGGGUAUUUGCUCCCAGAGCUCCCAAGAUGGUGGUGGGCUGCUCCCAAGAUGGCAGCAAGCCUUUUGUUCUCUGACCUGGGGUUCUUGGUCUCAUGGCUUCCAAGGAAUGGAAACUUGGGCCAUGCAGUGUUAUAGCUCUAUUAGAAGCUGUGGGUCAUGGAAGAGAACUGUGGAACCCAGUGACUAGUGCUCAGCUCAAUUAGUAUGAACCCGGGCACUUAGCCGCACAGGAAAAAUGGCGAGGUUUUAGUCCAAUUGGGAGCAGCAAUGGGUGCCUCGCUGCAUCAGAAGCAUAGCAGACACCCUGCCGGAUCCGGAGGGCUGGAAGUCAGUUGUGGUUCUGCGAUGAUGGUGAUCACCAGUGAUGGACAGUGAGUGAAAGCUCAGCUUGAGCCGGAACAAACACAGACCAGAAGAGUAUGCAGCUGCAAGAUUUAAUAGAGUGAAAACAGAGCUCCCAUACAAUGAGAGGGGACCCAAAGGAGGCUACCACUGCUGGCAUGAAUGCCUGGGUUUAUAUCCCAAUCAUUGUCCCUCCCCCUGUGCUCUCAGGUAAUAGAUGAUUGACUAUUUCUUUACCUCUUGCUUUUAGCCUAAUUGGUAUUUUAGUGAGUUCUCUUUACUACCAGAUUGGUUGGGUGUGAGCUGAGUUAUAGCCCCGUGUUUAAAGGUGGGUGUGGUCACCUUCCCCAUAUAGGCUUAGGAAUUCUUAGUCAGCCUGGAAAAUCCAGCUAGUCCAGUCUCCCAAUAAGAAGGUAGAUGUAGUCACUGGAUAACUGUUCAUCAUGGCUAAAUAUCCAUUGUAGUGUUUCAGAAUAGUAGAUGGAGCAGAUGAAGUCCUUAAAAUGUAGAGUCCAACUUUAGUAAGGAUAAAGUAAGUCAAAUCUAUUAUUGAGGUCUUACUAUUUCUUAGUAUGAUAACCCUGAAACAUGUUUUGUGUUGUUCAUGUUUAAAAAUGUGUAUUUUAAAAUUAAAAGUUAAAAGUUAAAAUAUUUUAUUACUUUGAAUCUUUCAAAUGACGCUUCUAAUAAUUAAUUCCAACAUGAAGUUUAAAUUAUUUUCCAAUAAAACAAUUAAAUCUUCUAAGAUUUCAUAGUACAUAUACUGUUAUUGGUCCUGCUCCAGUUGUUGAGAGUGUGGUGAGACUCAAGCAAUUAUUCAAUUAAAGGAAAGAAGUAUCAGUCCUUCAUAUUUGUCUCUCUAUAGAAAUGCAAACUUUUUUUUCAUGCUUUUACAGCAUUCUGGGAAAGAGUUUACUUUAAUUCAUUAGUCUGUAAAUAACCUGAAGAUCCUAAAUAACCUCAAAGGGAUGUUUGGAAUAUAAAUGUUAAAGGCUCAAACUCAAAGUAACGUUAGUUUAUAAACUUUUACAAGAAUAGCCAACAUAAAAUUAAAAAGUUUUUCCUUGUCCAAUACAUCUUGUUGUCUAUCACUAUGCUGGAUGCUGCUAAAUGUUCAAUAAUUGUAAAAAUGUCUAUAAUUAAAUAUAAAUUCCUGUCCAAUUACAGUUUAUUCAAUACAAAAAAUAAACCCAAAUAAUACAUCAGAAUUUUUAUACUUUAUAGCUUUUAAUAUUUCUUAAUGUUUCAACUUAAUACCAUGUAGCUAAUUUUCUUUUGAUAGUAAAAAAAACUUCACAUUUUAACAAGAAUUCACAUUUAUUCCAUUGCUUUUCUACAGUCUUAAUAUUUUCCUAAAUAUAAUUCAUAAACAACAUUAGUCAGACAAAGUAGAAAAAAGA
rnacentral:lncRNA from 10 species